rnacentral:rRNA from 1 species
GAUGAACGCUGGCGGCGUGCCUAAUACAUGCAAGUCGAGCGAACAGACGAGGAGCUUGCUCCUCUGACGUUAGCGGCGGACGGGUGAGUAACACGUGGAUAACCUACCUAUAAGACUGGGAUAACUUCGGGAAACCGGAGCUAAUACCGGAUAAUAUAUUGAACCGCAUGGUUCAAUAGUGAAAGACGGUUUUGCUGUCACUUAUAGAUGGAUCCGCGCCGCAUUAGCUAGUUGGUAAGGUAACGGCUUACCAAGGCAACGAUGCGUAGCCGACCUGAGAGGGUGAUCGGCCACACUGGAACUGAGACACGGUCCAGACGCCUACGGGAGGCAGCAGUAGGGAAUCUUCCGCAAUGGGCGAAAGCCUGACGGAGCAACGCCGCGUGAGUGAUGAAGGUCUUCGGAUCGUAAAACUCUGUUAUUAGGGAAGAACAAAUGUGUAAGUAACUAUGCACGUCUUGACGGUACAUAAUCAGAAAGACACGGCUAACUACGUG